rnacentral:lncRNA from 1 species
AUGGUUCAAACAUGGUAACCCAUUUCAGGAUUGCCGAAGUCCAGUUUGAUUUUUAUCAUUUCUAUCUUCAAUUCUCACUCUACUUUUUGGCAAGUACUGGACUUAGUGAUUUAUCCACAAUCUCUAGUAAUCCCAAGGCACAUGAUCAAGGGAGACCAUCUUAGAAACAUCCAACAUGAGAAGGGCAUGGUACAUACCAACAUCAAGAUUGUCCACAUCAAUAUAUUAUUGGAUAAGCAUGACCAGAUUGUUGCCAUGUCUCAUGAAUCCC